UGCAGAUCGCCAUGCUGCCUGCAUCAGAGAGGUCUCCCAGGUGUCGGGAGAGUGAAGGAGAUGUGCAGUUGAAUGUACCUUUAGGUCCCGGCAAGAUGAUGUGAGUCGAGCAAAUGUCAGAGGCCGUGCGGUGAAUUGACAGACUGUACAACUGUAGAAGUAUGAGCACGAAUGAACAUUUCUUCACCCACUCAACUUCCAUUCUUCAAGUUGUUUUCAACCUGCAAUGGAAAUCAGUGUUCUUAAAGGUAGCAUCCGUCAUUAAGGACCCCCCGUCACCCAGGACAUGCCUUGGUUUCAUUGCUACCAUUGGGGAGGAGGUACAGGAGCCUGAAGGCAGACACUCAACGAUUCAGGAACAACUUCUUCCCCUCUG